CAGCCGCCGCGGUAAUACGGAGGGGGCUAGCGUUGUUCGGAAUUACUGGGCGUAAAGCGCACGUAGGCGGCUUGGUAAGUUAGAGGUGAAAGCCCGGAGCUCAACUCCGGAAUUGCCUUUAAGACUGCCGAGCUAGUAGGUGAGAGAGGUAAGUGGAAUUCCGAGUGUAGAGGUGAAAUUCGUAGAUAUUCGGGAGAACACCAGUGGCGAAGGCGGCUUACUGGCUCAUUCUAGACGCUGAGGUGCGAAAGCGUGGGGAGCAAACAGGAUUAGAUACCCGGGUAGUCCCUGUCUCUUAUAC
rnacentral:rRNA from 1 species